rnacentral:rRNA from 1 species
UAGUCCUAGCCGUAAACGGUGCACGUUUGCUGUGGGCGGAUUCGACCCCGUCCGUGGCGAAGCUAACGCGUUAAACGUGCCGCCUGGGGAGUACGGUCGCAAGAUUAAAACUCAAAGAAAUUGACGGGGGCCUGCACAAGCGGUGGAGUAUGUGGCUUAAUUCGAUGCAACGCGAAGAACCUUACCUGGCCUUGACAUGCAAGUAUUAGGAACCUGAAAGGGUAACGAGGUAGCAAUACCAGCUUGCACAGGUGCUGCAUGGCUGUCGUCAGCUCGUGUCGUGAGAUGUUGGGUUAAGUCCCGCAACGAGCGCAACCCUUGUGUCCUGUUGCCACCCGAACGAGAGUUUGGAGCACUCUGGACAGACUGCCUCAUUUAAAUGAGGAGGAAGGUGGGGAUGACGUCAAGUCAGUAUGGCCCUUACGGCCAGGGCUGCACACGUACUACAAUGCCUGGUACAACGGGAAGCAAGACCGCAAGGUGGAGCAAAUCUCUAAAAACCAGGCCCAAGUUCGGAUUG